AUGAGCAUGCUUGUUAUGUGCGACACCGUAUAUCUGAAAAAAGGGAAAUUAUUAUGGGAUCAAAUUCAACGUUUGCAAUGCUAUGCUUGGAAUUUAUGUGAAAUUUAUGAUGUUACUUGUUGUUUUGAAAACCCUAAGAAACACCGUCCCUACCAAUGUGAGUUUAUUGAUAAUGGAAUCGUAUCUUCGUAUGCUAAGGAUGUUUAUAAUUACUAUGAUGUUCAACAAAAUGAAGAAUUUGUUGCUUUUAAGGGUGCUUUUGAAAUUGCUUCUUUGAUUGAAAAGUAUGAUGCUACUCUUUACAAAUCUGAAAGUUUUGCCAUACUUGAAUAUUGUUAUGAUAAUUAUGCUUCUAAUGCCAAUGUUAAACCAUAUAUUGAGAAAUUCUCCGCUGUCCAAGAAGAGAUUAAUAUUUUGCAGGAAGCUAUGGAAGAAGAAAUUGAUGAAACUGUGAGCUCAUUGGAUGAAAAAAAUGAUGAGGAGAGCGAAGAACAAAAGGAGGAAGAGCGGAUUAGCUACCCGUUCCCACCUUCUAAUGAGAGUAACCCUCCAACUCAUACAUUAUUUAAUUCCCCUUCGUGCUUACCGAAGGAUGAUUGCUAUGAUCCCUUGAAUUUGUCUGAAAUAUCCCUUUUUGAUGAUGCUUGCUAUGCUUGUGGCCAAGAUGCCAAUAUGAAUUAUGCUUAUGGAGAUGAACUUGCUAUAGUUCCUUAUGUUAAACAUGAAAUUGUUGCUAUUGCACCCACUCAUGAUAGUCCUAUUAUCUUUUUGAAUUCUCCCAACUACACUAUAUCAGAGAAGUUUGUGCUUAUUAAGGAUUAUAUUAAUGGGUUGCCUUUUACCAUUGCACAUGAUAAUUUUGAUGAAUGUGAUAUUCAUGUGCUUGCUGCUCCUACUUGCAAUUAUUAUGAGAGAGGAACUACAUCUCCACUUCUUUAUGUUUCCAACACGAUGAAAUUGCAAGAAACUGCUUAUACUAUGCAUUGGCCUUUACUAUGUGUGCAUGAAUUGUUCUUUUAUGACAUGCCGACGCAUAGGAAGAGAGUUAGACUUCGUUGUUGCAUGAUAUAUGUUACUUUGUGA
rnacentral:rRNA from 1 species